AACUUUCUUGACUUUUUGAAAAAAGUGAAACACCCGAACAAAGCCAAAUUCGAUAAGUGACCCCUUUUAUUGCCAUAUGUACUGCAAAACGUGGGAGACGUGGUAAAAGUCAAGA
rnacentral:rRNA from 1 species